rnacentral:rRNA from 20 species
GGGUGCGAUCAUACCAGCACUAAAGCACC